rnacentral:SRP_RNA from 1 species
CUGUGCUACGCGGGGAGCUAGCGGUGCCCUAUACCCGCAAUCCGCUACAGCGGGGCGGAAUACCACCCCCGGCAUCCGUAUGGAAGGCAGUCGCCGGCAAGUGGCGUCGAUUUUAAGGUCUUGUGCAACGUUAUACCGCGAACCGUGUCAGGGCUUGACCGCAGCAGCACUAAACGGAUCAUAGCGUGUGCCACAAGGGCGCCUUAAAGGAGUUAACUGCCGGAAGGACGGUUCGAUGCGGUAUGACAAAGGUGGUUGCACAG